UUUCUACUUCAUGCGUCCGAAAAUACUUGUCAUAAGAAUGUACGUAUCUAGAUGUAUUUUAGUUUUAAAUACAUCAUUUUUAUGCAUUUGUGCGAUAAGUAAUUCCGGACGAAGGGAGUAUGUC
rnacentral:pre_miRNA from 1 species